AACGUACCUACGCCGGGAGCUGCUCUGGGUGCAACCGAUCCGAACCGCAACUGCCGCUCACAAUGGUGGUCCAGGAGGGACCAGGGGAGCAUCCUGAGAGCAGUGACUCAUCUUUCAGUUAUAAUCAGCUGACCUUAAAAUGAAGGGAUUAGCUGCGAUUUUCCAGGUCUCCCUAAGGCAAGGCUGGAAUCCUGAAAACUACAUUUCCCAGAUACCUUUUGCUUCCUGUGUUCUGGAUUCACCAAGUGGGAGGCACUUCCUGAUGUUCGGAAAGUGGAAGAAAGACAUGUCAUUGUUGUGGAUUUUUGCUUGGGCUUUGUCUCUUUUCCUUGCCAGUCCCCGCUUCAGUAAUAUAAGGCAGCUGUGACAAUUAACAGUGGUUUUAUUAACUUUUCUGGCCUUUGGGCAGCAAUAGCGGUAACUUCUAUAUUCUCUGGACCACAGAUGCAGUGGCACAAAUGAAAACCAAUGGGGCAGUAGCCCCUCCAGAUGCUUAUAAGCAUCUAAGUCUCUGUACUAAAUAGCAUUAUGUUUGAAAUAUCUAGAGUGGUUUCUUUUUUCCAUAAUUGAACCCUAAUUGAUAGACUUCUCCAUGUCUGAGUUUCCUCGUCUGUAAAAUGAAAUUACUCAUAAUGGACGACACACAAUAGAAAGUAACUCCUUAGUAUUAUUGCAUGGAUUAAAUGACACAGACUAAAUCUGUGUAAAGUGCUUAACACACAGUAGGUGCUUA